UGCGUAGGCGGGUCUUUAAGUCAGGGGUGAAAUCCUGGAGCUCAACUCCAGAACUGCCUUUGAUACUGAAGAUCUUGAGUUCGGGAGAGGUGAGUGGAACUGCGAGUGUAGAGGUGAAAUUCGUAGAUAUUCGCAAGAACACCAGUGGCGAAGGCGGCUCACUGGCCCGAUACUGACGCUGAGGCAAGACUGGGGAGGCAAACA
rnacentral:rRNA from 1 species